AGAGUUUGAUCCUGGCUCAGAUUGAACGCUGGCGGCAUGCCUUACACAUGCAAGUCGAACGGCAGCACGGGAGCAAUCCUGGUGGCGAGUGGCGAACGGGUGAGUAAUAUAUCGGAACGUGCCCAGUCGUGGGGGAUAACGCAGCGAAAGCUGUGCUAAUACCGCAUACGAUCUCUGGAUGAAAGCGGGGGACUCGCAAGAGCCUCGCGCGAUUGGAGCGGCCGAUAUCAGAUUAGCUAGUUGGUGGGGUAAAGGCUCACCAAGGCGACGAUCUGUAGCUGGUCUGAGAGGACGACCAGCCACACUGGAACUGAGACACGGUCCAGACUCCUACGGGAGGCAGCAGUGGGGAAUUUUGGACAAUGGGCGCAAGCCUGAUCCAGCAAUGCCGCGUGCAGGAUGAAGGCCUUCGGGUUGUAAACUGCUUUUGUACGGAACGAAACGGUUCUCUCUAAUAAAGAGGGCCAAUGACGGUACCGUAAGAAUAAGCACCGGCUAACUACGUGCCAGCAGCCGCGGUAA
rnacentral:rRNA from 1 species